rnacentral:tRNA from 1 species
GGUUCAGUGGUGUAGUGGUUAUCACGCCUGUCUUACAAAGUGGUCACAGGCGGUCGUCGGUUCGAUCCCGGCCUGAACCA